UACGUGGGGUGCAAGCGUUGUUCGGAAUUACUGGGCGUAAAGCGCGUGUAGGCGGUCUGUUAUGUCAGGUGUGAAAGCCCUCGGCCUAACCGAGGAAGUGCGCCUGAAACUGGCAGACUUGAGUACGAGAGAGGAGGACGGAAUUCCCAGUGUAGAGGUGAAAUUCGUAGAUAUUGGGAGGAACACCGGCGGCGAAAGCGGUCCUCUGGAUCGAUACUGACGCUAAGACGCGAAAGCGUGGGUAGCAAACAGG
rnacentral:rRNA from 1 species